GUUGACCUCGAAUCAGGUAGGACUACCCGCUGAACUUAAGCAUAUCAAUAAGCGGAGGAAAAGAAACCAACAGGGAUUGCCCUAGUAACGGCGAGUGAAGCGGCAACAGCUCAAAUUUGAAAUCUGGCCCUCGGGUCCGAGUUGUAAUUUGUAGAGGAUGCUUUUGGUGAGGUGCCUUCCGAGUUCCCUGGAACGGGACGCCAUAGAGGGUGAGAGCCCCGUCUGGUUGGACACCGAACCUCUGUAAAGCUCCUUCGACGAGUCGAGUAGUUUGGGAAUGCUGCUCUAAAUGGGAGGUAUAUGUCUUCUAAAGCUAAAUACCGGCCAGAGACCGAUAGCGCACAAGUAGAGUGAUCGAAAGAUGAAAAGCACUUUGAAAAGAGAGUUAAAAAGUACGUGAAAUUGUUGAAAGGGAAGCGCUUAUGACCAGACUUGGGCUUGGUUGAUCAUCCUGGGUUCUCCCUGGUGCACUCUUCCAGUUCAGGCCAGCAUCAGUUCGCUGCGGGGGAUAAAAGCUUUAGGAAUGUGGCUCCUUCGGGAGUGUUAUAGCCUAUUGCAUAAUACCCUGCUCCGGACUGAGGUUCGCGCAUCUGCAAGGAUGCUGGCGUAAUGGUCAUCAGCGACCCGUCUUGAAACACGGACCAAGGAGUCGUCUUCGUAUGCGAGUGUUCGGGUGUUAAACCCCUACGCGUAAUGAAAGUGAACGCAGGUGAGAGCUUCGGCGCAUCAUCGACCGAUCCUGAUGUUCUCGGAUGGAUUUGAGUAAGAGCAUACGGGGCCGGACCCGAAAGAAGGUGAACUAUGCCUGUAUAGGGUGAAGCCAGAGGAAACUCUGGUGGAGGCUCGCAGCGGUUCUGACGUGCAAAUCGAUCGUCAAAUAUGGGCAUGGGGGCGAAAGACUAAUCGAACCUUCUAGUAGCUGGUUUCCGCCGAGUC
rnacentral:rRNA from 1 species